AUUGAACGCUGGCGGCAGGCUUAACACAUGCAAGUCGAGCGGGGAGAUGUAGCUUGCUACAUUUCCUAGCGGCGGACGGGUGAGUAAUGCUUAGGAAUCUGCCUAUUAGUGGGGGACAACAUUCCGAAAGGAAUGCUAAUACCGCAUACGCCCUACGGGGAAAGCAGGGGAUCUUCGGACCUUGCGCUAAUAGAUGAGCC
rnacentral:rRNA from 1 species